rnacentral:rRNA from 1 species
AUUGAACGCUGGCGGCAGGCCUAACACAUGCAAGUCGAACGAGUGGCGGACGGGUGAGUAAUGUCUGGGAAACUGCCUGAUGGAGGGGGAUAACUACUGGAAACGGUAGCUUAUACCGCCUACUCUCAAAUGAGCCCAGAUGGGAUUAGCUGGUUGGUGGGGUAACGGCUAACCAAGGCGACUAUCCCUAGCUGGUCUGAGAGGAUGACCGACCACACGGGAACUGAGACACGGUCCAGACUCCUACGGGAGGCAGAAGUGGGGAAUAUUGGACAAUGGGGGAAAGCCUGAUGCAGCCAUGCCGCGUGGAUGAAGAAGGCCUUCGGAUUGGAAAGUACUUUCAGCGGGGAGGCGUUACCCGCAGAAGAAGCACCGGCUAACUCCGUGCCAGCAGCCGCGGUAAUUC